ACUGAACGCUGGCGGCAUGCCUUACACAUGCAAGUCGAACGGUAACGCGGGGCAACCUGGCGACGAGUGGCGAACGGGUGAGUAAUAUAUCGGAACGUGCCCAGUUGUGGGGGAUAACUGCUCGAAAGAGCAGCUAAUACCGCAUACGACCUGAGGGUGAAAGCGGGGGAUCGCAAGACCUCGCGCAAUUGGAGCGGCCGAUAUCAGAUUAGGUAGUUGGUGGGGUAAAGGCUCACCAAGCCAACGAUCUGUAGCUGGUCUGGGAGGAUGACCGGCCCACCUGGGCCUGGGAAACGGCCCAGCUGCCUAGGGGAGGCAGAAGUGGGGAAUUUUGGAAAAUGGACCCAAGUCGGUCCCGGCCAUGCCGCGGGCGGAAAGAAGGCCUUCGGGUUGUAACCCGCUUUUGUCAGGGAAGAAACGCUCUGGGUUAAUACCUCGGGUAAUGACGGUACCUGAAGAAUAAGCACCGGCUAACUACGUGCCAGCCGCCGCAGUAAUAC
rnacentral:rRNA from 1 species